rnacentral:rRNA from 1 species
AUUGAACGCUGGAGGCAGGCCUAACACAUGCAAGUCGAGCGAGCGGCGGACGGGUGAGUAAUGUAUGAGGAUCUGCCCGAUAGAGGGAGAUAACUACUGGAAAAGGUGGCUCAUACCGCAUACUAUCGGCAGAACCCAUAGGGGAUUAGCUAGUAGGUGGGGUAACGGCUCACCUAGGAGACGAUCUCUAGCUGGUCUGAGAGGAUGAUCAGCCACACUGGGACUGAGACACGGCCCAGACUCCUCCGGGAGGCAGCAGUGGGGAAUAUUGCACAAUGGGCGCAAGCCUUAUGCAGCCAUGCCGCGUGUAUGAAGAAGGCCUUAGGGUUGUAAAGUACUUUCAGCGGGGAGGCGUUACCCGCAGAAGAAGCACCGGCUAACUCCGUGCCAGCAGCCGCGGUAAUUC